rnacentral:rRNA from 1 species
UACAGAGGUCUCAAGCGUUGUUCGGAUUCAUUGGGCGUAAAGAGCUCGUAGGCGGCCAGUUGCGUCUGCUGUGAAAUCCCGGGGCUCAACCCCGGGCGUGCAGUGGAUACGGGCUGGCUAGAGGCAGGCAGGGGAGAACGGAAUUCCCGGUGUAGCGGUGAAAUGCGCAGAUAUCGGGAGGAACACCGGUGGCGAAGGCGGUUCUCUGGGCCUGUACUGACGCUGAGGAGCGAAAGCGUGGGGAGCGAACAGG